GGUUAAGCGACUAAGCGUACACGGUGGAUGCCCUGGCAGUCAGAGGCGAUGAAGGACGUGCUAAUCUGCGAUAAGCGUCGGUAAGGUGAUAUGAACCGUUAUAACCGGCGAUUUCCGAAUGGGGAAACCCAGUGUGUUUCGACACACUAUCAUUAACUGAAUCCAUAGGUUAAUGAGGCGAACCGGGGGAACUGAAACAUCUAAGUACCCCGAGGAAAAGAAAUCAACCGAGAUUCCCCCAGUAGCGGCGAGCGAACGGGGAGCAGCCCAGAGCCUGAAUCAGUGUGUGUGUUAGUGGAAGCGUCUGGAAAGGCGCGCGAUACAGGGUGACAGCCCCGUACACAAAAAUGCACAUGCUGUGAGCUCGAUGAGUAGGGCGGGACACGUGGUAUCCUGUCUGAAUAUGGGGGGACCAUCCUCCAAGGCUAAAUACUCCUGACUGACCGAUAGUGAACCAGUACCGUGAGGGAAAGGCGAAAAGAACCCCGGCGAGGGGAGUGAAAAAGAACCUGAAACCGUGUACGUACAAGCAGUGGGAGCACAGAGCAAUCUGUGUGACUGCGUACCUUUUGUAUAAUGGGUCAGCGACUUAUAUUCUGUAGCAAGGUUAACCGAAUAGGGGAGCCGAAGGGAAACCGAGUCUUAACUGGGCGUUAAGUUGCAGGGUAUAGACCCGAAACCCGGUGAUCUAGCCAUGGGCAGGUUGAAGGUUGGGUAACACUAACUGGAGGACCGAACCGACUAAUGUUGAAAAAUUAGCGGAUGACUUGUGGCUGGGGGUGAAAGGCCAAUCAAACCGGGAGAUAGCUGGUUCUCCCCGAAAGCUAUUUAGGUAGCGCCUCGUGAAUUCAUCUCCGGGGGUAGAGCACUGUUUCGGCAAGGGGGUCAUCCCGACUUACCAACCCGAUGCAAACUGCGAAUACCGGAGAAUGUUAUCACGGGAGACACACGGCGGGUGCUAACGUCCGUCGUGAAGAGGGAAACAACCCAGACCGCCAGCUAAGGUCCCAAAGUCAUGGUUAAGUGGGAAACGAUGUGGGAAGGCCCAGACAGCCAGGAUGUUGGCUUAGAAGCAGCCAUCAUUUAAAGAAAGCGUAAUAGCUCACUGGUCGAGUCGGCCUGCGCGGAAGAUGUAACGGGGCUAAACCAUGCACCGAAGCUGCGGCAGCGACACUAUGUGUUGUUGGGUAGGGGAGCGUUCUGUAAGCCUGCGAAGGUGUGCUGUGAGGCAUGCUGGAGGUAUCAGAAGUGCGAAUGCUGACAUAAGUAACGAUAAAGCGGGUGAAAAGCCCGCUCGCCGGAAGACCAAGGGUUCCUGUCCAACGUUAAUCGGGGCAGGGUGAGUCGACCCCUAAGGCGAGGCCGAAAGGCGUAGUCGAUGGGAAACAGGUUAAUAUUCCUGUACUUGGUGUUACUGCGAAGGGGGGACGGAGAAGGCUAUGUUGGCCGGGCGACGGUUGUCCCGGUUUAAGCGUGUAGGCUGGUUUUCCAGGCAAAUCCGGAAAAUCAAGGCUGAGGCGUGAUGACGAGGCACUACGGUGCUGAAGCAACAAAUGCCCUGCUUCCAGGAAAAGCCUCUAAGCAUCAGGUAACAUCAAAUCGUACCCCAAACCGACACAGGUGGUCAGGUAGAGAAUACCAAGGCGCUUGAGAGAACUCGGGUGAAGGAACUAGGCAAAAUGGUGCCGUAACUUCGGGAGAAGGCACGCUGAUAUGUAGGUGAAGCGACUUGCUCGUGGAGCUGAAAUCAGUCGAAGAUACCAGCUGGCUGCAACUGUUUAUUAAAAACACAGCACUGUGCAAACACGAAAGUGGACGUAUACGGUGUGACGCCUGCCCGGUGCCGGAAGGUUAAUUGAUGGGGUCAGCGCAAGCGAAGCUCUUGAUCGAAGCCCCGGUAAACGGCGGCCGUAACUAUAACGGUCCUAAGGUAGCGAAAUUCCUUGUCGGGUAAGUUCCGACCUGCACGAAUGGCGUAAUGAUGGCCAGGCUGUCUCCACCCGAGACUCAGUGAAAUUGAACUCGCUGUGAAGAUGCAGUGUACCCGCGGCAAGACGGAAAGACCCCGUGAACCUUUACUAUAGCUUGACACUGAACAUUGAGCCUUGAUGUGUAGGAUAGGUGGGAGGCUUUGAAGUGUGGACGCCAGUCUGCAUGGAGCCGACCUUGAAAUACCACCCUUUAAUGUUUGAUGUUCUAACGUGGACCCGUAAUCCGGGUUGCGGACAGUGUCUGGUGGGUAGUUUGACUGGGGCGGUCUCCUCCUAAAGAGUAACGGAGGAGCACGAAGGUUGGCUAAUCCUGGUCGGACAUCAGGAGGUUAGUGCAAUGGCAUAAGCCAGCUUGACUGCGAGCGUGACGGCGCGAGCAGGUGCGAAAGCAGGUCAUAGUGAUCCGGUGGUUCUGAAUGGAAGGGCCAUCGCUCAACGGAUAAAAGGUACUCCGGGGAUAACAGGCUGAUACCGCCCAAGAGUUCAUAUCGACGGCGGUGUUUGGCACCUCGAUGUCGGCUCAUCACAUCCUGGGGCUGAAGUAGGUCCCAAGGGUAUGGCUGUUCGCCAUUUAAAGUGGUACGCGAGCUGGGUUUAGAACGUCGUGAGACAGUUCGGUCCCUAUCUGCCGUGGGCGCUGGAGAACUGAGGGGGGCUGCUCCUAGUACGAGAGGACCGGAGUGGACGCAUCACUGGUGUUCGGGUUGUCAUGCCAAUGGCACUGCCCGGUAGCUAAAUGCGGAAGAGAUAAGUGCUGAAAGCAUCUAAGCACGAAACUUGCCCCGAGAUGAGUUCUCCCUGACUCCUUGAGAGUCCUGAAGGAACGUUGAAGACGACGACGUUGAUAGGCCGGGUGUGUAAGCGCAGCGAUGCGUUGAGCUAACCGGUACUAAUGAACCGUGAGGCUUAACCUU
rnacentral:rRNA from 1 species